CCCAACUAUCCCUAUUAAUCAUUACGUCAACCCUAGAAACCAACAAAAUAGGAUCAAACGUCCUAUUUUAUUAUUCCAUGCUAAUGUAUUCAAGCGUUAGCCUGCUUUAAACACUCUAAUUUUUUCAAACAGUCCUGUUUCCCCGCAACACCAAAUUAAUGGCAUCACGGUUCUUCAAGAAGGAGGAAUCAGCAAGGCCAGUUCAUACCAGUGGCACGACCAACCUGCUGACCCCGAAAUUCAACUACGAGCUUUUUAACUGCAACAACUUUAAUAUACGCUAUUGGAGCUGGAAUUACCGCGGCUGCUGGCACCAGACUUGCCUCCAA
rnacentral:misc_RNA from 1 species